rnacentral:rRNA from 1 species
AAGUGGAGCAAUCCAUGAGUAAAGUGGCGCACGGGUGAGUAACACGUGACUAACCUAUCCUUGAGUGGGGGAUAACCUAGGGAAACCUGGGCUAAUACCGCAUAAUACCUUCGGGUCAAAGGAGCAAUUCGCUUAAGGAGGGGGUCGCGGCCGAUUAGUUAGUUGGCGGGGUAAUGGCCCACCAAGACUAUGAUCGGUAUCCGGCCUGAGAGGGCGCACGGACACACUGGAACUGAAACACGGUCCAGACUCCUACGGGAGGCAGCAGUGGGGAAUUUUGCGCAAUGGGGGAAACCCUGACGCAGCAACGCCGCGUGGAGGAUGAAGUCCCUUGGG